CUACGGGGCGCUCCAGUGAGGAAUAUUGCACAAUGGGGGGAACCCUGAUGCAGCAACGCCGCGUGGAGGAUGACGCCUUUCGGUGUGUAAACUCCUUUUAUAUGUCAAGAAAAUGACGGUAGCAUAUGAAUAAGCACCGGCUAACUCCGUGCCAGCAGCCGCGGUAAUACGGAGGGUGUAAGCGUUACUCGGAAUCACUGGGCGUAAAGGACGCGUAGGCGGGUUGGAAAGUCAGGUGUGAAAUCCUACAGCUUAACUGUAGAACUGCACUUGAAACUUCUAAUCUAGAGUAUGGGAGGGGGAAAUGGAAUUAGUGGUGUAGGGGUAAAAUCCGUAGAUAUCACUAGGAAUACCUAAAGCGAAGGCGAUCUCCUGGAACAUUACUGACGCUAAGGCGUGAAAGCGUGGGGAGCAAACAGGAUUAGAUACCCGUGUAGUC
rnacentral:rRNA from 1 species